rnacentral:rRNA from 1 species
GACGAACGCUGGCGGCGUGCUUAACACAUGCAAGUCGAGCGAGGCCCCUCCUUCGGGAGGGUGUUCUAGCGGCGAACAGGUGAGUAACACGUGUGCAACCUGCCCUCAGCUCUGGGAUAACUCCUGGAAACCGGGGCUAAUACCGGAUACGACCUCCACGGGCAUCUGCGGAGGUUGAAAGUUUUUCGGCUGAGGAUGGGCCCGCGACCUAUCAGCUAGUUGGUGGGGUAGUGGCCCACCAAGGCGACGACGGGUAGCCGGCCUGAGAGGGCGACCGGCCACACGGGGACUGAGACACGGCCCAGACUCCUACGGGAGGCAGCAGUGGGGAAUAUUGCGCAAUGGGCGAAAGCCUGACGCAGCGAAGCCGCGUGAGGGACGAAGGCCCUCGGGUUGUAAACCUCUUUCAGCAGGGACGAAGAGAAAGUGACGGUACCUGCAGAAGAAGCACCGGCCAGCUACGUG